CUUUUUUUUUUUUUUUCGGAGCUGGGGACUGAACCCAGGGCCUUGCGCUUGCUAGGCAAGCGCUCUACCACUGAGCUAAAUCCCUAACCCUCACUACUCUCAAGUAGGGAAAAUUUACUGCAAAACCUCAGUAUUUAAAACAUUCCAAAUUUGUUUUUCAAAUAUACUAACCUGGGAGCAGGGUAUAAACCUGCAGUCUCAGGUACUCAGGGGCCUGCUAAGGAAGGAGAAUUACGUGUGCUCAGGAGUCCGAAGCUGGCCUACGCAGCAGAAUCAGAGACUGUCUGUCUGUCUGCCUGUCUGUCUCUGCGCAUACAUUUAAAAGAAUAAAGAAACAUGAAACACAUUAAUAGCUAUAAAUUUGAAUUUAUUACAAGUUUUCUUUCAAGGUUUUUUUCCCCCUCUAAUUUUCUAGAUCUUCUAGAAUGAUCUUGAGUAGAAUCAGAAUAUAACCCAGACUACAGAGUCCAGGAGGUAUGGUUUGAAUUUGACAGCCUUCACUUAGUACCCAGGUGAACUUGGAUAAAGUGUUACUUUAUUUUAUUUAUUAUUUAUUUAUUUAUUUGUUUAUUUAUUUAUUUAUUUUUGCCUUGGUGUCCCUUUAAAAGGGAGGAUGGGCACAACACCUUCCUUACAGGGGAGCCUGUACCGUGACACUUAGCAUCUGCCUGGGUGGGUGAGAGUAGCCUCCAGCAAAUGUUGGACAUUUAUAUAUUACUGUUAUUCUUACAGGAAAAGUAAACAUUCUUAGAAAUAACAUUUUGGCUUGAUGCUACCUUGGUGUACAAGACCCUGCCUUUAAAAAAAAAAGUCACUUUCUAAAAAUACAGCAUGUCCGUUAAAAGAAGCCAGCGAAGCCCUCACCCUCUUCAGAAGGUGUCUCUGACGCUGAGCGGAGCAAGAAUAAGCACAAAGCACGGUUGACUCGUGUAAAUGGUCGCAUGAAAAGAGGGAAGUAGGAGAGGAAAAAGGAGCGACGGUGGAGACAAACACAAGGCUCAUGAAAGAAAACGGAGAUGCCAUUUUCUUCUCUACUGGUGCAGGAGACUGGACAUGGGCUACGCAUUCACUCUGCCGAUGAGCUGCAGUCUGGUUCAGGAUUUUUUUUUUUUAAAGACAACAAAGCGAACAAAACAAAACCCCCGAAAACUAGCUAGAUCAAACCACAGAAUAACUAAUCAAACUCUCAAACAGCAAGCUUAAAAAUAGCACACACAGCCACAUUCCACGGCACCUGUAACCCCAGAACCCUGGAGACUGAGGCAGGGGGAAGGAGAGUUCAGGGUCAUGCAGCCAGGGGGUGUACAGGUCUCAAACAAAACAAAGGAAUCCCCAAGCAAACCAAGGCUAAGAGAGAAAAACAGAACAGAGACACAGACAAUGGGGCCUAUAGGAAGACAAGAGCCUGUGGGUUGAGAAAGAGGGAGUGCCCUGCUUGGUUAGGGCAUGAGAGAUCCUGUUGCCUGAGGCCCCAGCAGGAUGACUAAAGGGCUUAGUGGCAGAUAACCCUAGCUCCAGCUGGGUCUGAAGUUAGCCUCAUGUUACACGACGGACUUUUGUGGGGUUAGGGUAUGGAAGGGGCCAGCCCAAGACCUCUGAAAAGAAGCUGUUGGCAGGAACAGGUGCCUGGGGGUAGAGCUUGGUGCAGAGAGGCUGAGCAGGAGAACUUUGCCACACUUGCAUUGCUGUGACCCUUGAUUGUUAACAAUCUCACAGUGCAACUGUCUCACUUGUCUGGUGCCAAGAACAUAAGUGGAGGUUGGACAUCAGGAAAAAAAAAAAAAGGAAUUAUCACCAUGACCUCAGUUCUCCUGAGGAGUUCUCACCCUGCUGUUGACCUUGGAGGACGGCCACCUAACCCGAGCAGGGCACAGAUGGUGGUUGGGGGAGCUCACAGACUCCUAACAUGGCUCUAAAGAAGGCGAGACACUGAAAAGUGAAGUUUGCUCAAAUAAGGCUUCAGUCAGCCAUGGUGGAUCACACUUAAAAUCCUAACACUUGGGAGGUUUGAGACAGGAGGAUUGCCAGGAGUUCAAGGCAAGUCUGGCUUAUACAGUGAGCUCCAGGUUAGCAUGGACAAUGGAACAAACCCUGUGUCAAAACAAACAAACAAGCAAAUAAACUUCCCUAAGGGUGUCAUAAUGCUGGGGGGCCAUGGCCCACUGUAACAUGUCCCGGGGCACUGGCUGGCCAUGGUUUUUUCUUUGUUUGUUUGCUUGCAAAAACCAGUUACUAACAUCCCAGGUAGACUCAGUCUCGGCCAUCUGAAGCCAUGUGAGCAAGAGCAGGCGUUCAGGCUGCCACCCUGGCCUUCCAUGUGCCCUGGCCUUCCCUCUUCAGAGAGCCAUUUCCCCCAUUCGAUGUUUGCACAUUCAAAGGGAUGCUGACACCAGGCAGGAAACAGACCAGAGCGAAGCAGACUGAGCAUUCACUGAAGACAGGAGAGGAGGAGACACAGCCAGGAGAAGCUUCACCCAUCAGAACAGGCCAGCGGUUACUUAGCUCCUGCUGACCGUUGCCAUGGAGAAAAGCCACGAAGACACUGAAGACUGGGGAGUUUUGGCGAGUUCCAGAGACUGGAAAGCAGCUCGACAGACUAAAAGCCUUGCCUCCCCAUGUCUGGUCUCAGAUCAGCACCUCUAGGGCCUGGCUUCUUGGUGAUUCGCUGAUCCACUUGGGGCUGCACACUUGGAUGUGAGCCUUUUGAAAAACCUGGCAACAGUAAAAGGUUUCUGAACACUAAA